GGGGUCAGUAGGUUGGUCGUGCCACCGGUACGUACUGGUCUCACUGAUUCCUCCUUCCUGAAGAACCGUAAUGCCAUUAAUUUGGUGUUGCGGGGAAACAGGACUGUUACUUUGAAAAAAUUAGAGUGUUUAAAGCAAGCUAACGCUUGAAUACAUUAGCAUGGAAUAAUGAAAUAGGACGAUCGAUCCUAUUUUGUCGGUUUCUAGGAUUGACGUA
rnacentral:rRNA from 1 species